CGCGCCCAAACACUCUUGGAACCACCUGGGAGGGGACACAGGGACGGUGCUGCAGCCUCCUGUGUGCCCGCUCGGCCUUCAAAGCUCAGCGGAAGGUGAAGUCUCUGCCAUGGAGGUUAUAGCGCUCCUCCCUCAACAGUCACAUGGUGACAGCAUGAGAAAAUGUCACCCUGCGAAGCUGAGUCAAUAGGCUCGUGAAGAAA